rnacentral:rRNA from 1 species
UAAAAAUUAAUAAAUUAUUUAGUAAUUUUGAAAAAUUUAUUUAAUUAAAAAAAUAAUUAAUUUUUAUUUUUAAGUAUAAUAUUAGAAAAAAAAAUAAUUUGUUGAUAUUUAAGUAUUGAAAAAGAAAUUUGAAAUAAUUUUUAUUAGGAAAAAAAUAAUUUUUAUUUAAUGUAUUUUGUGUAUCAAAGAUUAAUUAUAAUAAAAUUAAUAUUAAUUUUUUUCGAAAUUUUAAGGGCUAAGUAAUUAUUUUAGUUAUUGUAUUAUAAAUAUUAAAAAUUAUUAUUUAGAAAUGAUAUGUUUAUCAAUUAAAAUGAUAUUUAAUUAAAAAAGAAAUAAAUAUAAAUUAAUUAUUUUAAUGAAAUUUUAAAUUGAUAUAUAAAAUUUAUUAAAAUAAUAAAAUUAAAAGAGAUAAUUUUUUUAAUUUAAAAUUAAUUUUUAUAAGUAAUAAAAAAAUUGUAAAAUUUAUAUUUUUUAUCAUAAAAAUUUUUUAUAAAUAAUUUUUUUUAUAAAAUUAUUUAUUUAAAAAUUAAUUAAUUUAUUUUUUUUUAAAUUUUAACUUUUUUUUAUUUUGUGAUAAUAUUAAUAUAAGUAUAAAUAAAUAAUUAUUUUUAAUUUUUAUUUAAUUUUUAAAGUAAGUUAUGAGAAUUCGGCAAAAAGUUAUUUGCUUGUUUAUCAAAAACAUGGUUUUUUGAAUAAAUUAAUUUAAAAUUUAACCUGCCCCCUGAAUUUAUUUUUAAAGGGCCGCAAUUUAAUUGUGCUAAGGUAGCAUAAUAAUUAGAUUCUUAAUUGGAAUCUAGAAUGAAUGGUUGGACAAAAUAUAAUCUUUUUUUAGUUUAGUUAAUUAGAAUUUAAUUUUUUAGUGAAAAAGCUGAAAUAUUUUUAAAAGACGAGAAGACCCUAUAGAUUUUUAUAAUUUUAAUUUUAAUUUUAAUUAAAUUAAAAUUAUUAUAUUGGGGUGAUAAAAAAAUUUAUGAAACUUUUUUAAAUUUAAACAAUUAUUUUUGAAUAUUUAUUUAAUGAUCUUUUUUUAAGAAAUUUAAAUUAAAAUACCUUAGGGAUAACAGCGUUAUUUUAAUUUUUAGUUCUUAUGGAAAUUAAAGUUUGCGACCUCGAUGUUGGAUUAAAAUUAAUAAUAAAAUGCAAAAGUUUAUUUAUUAAGUCUGUUCGACUUUUAAAAUUUUACAUGAUCUGAGUUCAAACCGGUGUGAGCCAGGUUGGUUUCUAUCUUUAAAGUGAUAUUAAUAUAUUUUAGUACGAAAGGAAUUAAUAUAAAAAUUAAAUUUAAAAAAAAAAUGAAUAUAAUUAAUAAGUAUAAUA